rnacentral:rRNA from 1 species
UUGACCUCGAAUCAGGUAGGAAUACCCGCUGAACUUAAGCAUAUCAAUAAGCGGAGGAAAAGAAACCAACAGGGAUUGCCCCAGUAACGGCGAGUGAAGCGGCAACAGCUCAAAUUUGAAAUCUGGCUCUCGGGCCCGAGUUGUAAUUUGUAGAGGAUGCUUUUGGUGAGGUGCCUUCCGAGUUCCCUGGAACGGGACGCCAUAGAGGGUGAGAGCCCCGUCUGGUUGGACACCGAUCCUCUGUAAAGCUCCUUCGACGAGUCGAGUAGUUUGGGAAUGCUGCUCUAAAUGGGAGGUAUAUGUCUUCUAAAGCUAAAUACCGGCCAGAGACCGAUAGCGCACAAGUAGAGUGAUCGAAAGAUGAAAAGAACUUUGAAAAGAGAGUUAAACAGUACGUGAAAUUGUUGAAAGGGAAGCGCUUGUGACCAGACUUGGGCUUGGUUGAUCAUCCGGGGUUCUCCCCGGUGCACUCUUCCGGCUCAGGCCAGCAUCAGUUCGCCCUGGGGGAUAAAGGCUUCGGGAAUGUGGCUCUCUCCGGGGAGUGUUAUAGCCCGCUGCGUAAUACCCUGUGGCGGACUGAGGUUCGCGCAUUCGCAAGGAUGCUGGCGUAAUGGUCAUCAGUGACCCGUCUU